AGAGUUUGAUCAUGGCUCAGAAUCAACGCUGGCGGCGCGCCUAACACAUGCAAGUCGAACGAGAAAGGGGAGCAAUCCCUGAGUAAAGUGGCGUACGGGUGAGUAACACGUGGGUAAUCUGCCUCUUAGUGGGGAAUAACCCUGGGAAACCGGGGCUAAUACCGCAUAAGCCCGAGAGGGGAAACGCGAAAGCGGCUGAGAGAGGAGCCCGCGGCCGAUUAGCUAGUUGGUAGGGUAAAAGCCUACCAAGGCAAAGAUCGGUAGCCGGCCUGAGAGGGCACACGGCCACACUGGCACUGAAACACGGGCCAGACUCCUACGGGAGGCAGCAGUGGGGAAUCUUGCACAAUGGGGGAAACCCUGAUGCAGCGACGCCGCGUGAGCGAUGAAGCCCUUCGGGGUGUAAAGCUCUUUCGGCAGGGAAGAUGAUGACGGUACCUGCAGAAGCAGCUGCGGCUAACUACGUGCCAGCAGCCGCGGUAAUACGUAGGCAGCAAGCGUUGUUCGGAGUUACUGGGCGUAAAGGGUGUGUAGGCGGUUUGGUAAGUCUGGUGUGAAAUCUCCCGGCUCAACUGGGAGGGUGCGCCGGAAACUGCCGGACUCGAGUGCGGGAGAGGAGAGUGGAAUUCCUGGUGUAGCGGUGAAAUGCGUAGAUAUCAGGAGGAACACCGGUGGUGUAGACGGCUCUCUGGACCGUAACUGACGCUGAAACACGAAAGCGUGGGUAGCAAACAGGAUUAGAUACCCUGGUAGUCCACGCCCUAAACGAUGCAUAUUUGGUGUGGGUCAUUCAGUUGAUCCGUGCCGGAGCUAACGCGUUAAAUAUGCCGCCUGGGGAGUACAGUCGCAAGGCUGAAACUCAAAGGAAUUGACGGGGGCCCGCACAAGCGGUGGAGCAUGUGGUUCAAUUCGACGCAACGCGAAGAACCUUACCUGGGCUCGAACGGCUGGUUUAACGGCGGUGGAAACAUCGCUACCCCCGGCAAAGUGU
rnacentral:rRNA from 1 species